GAAUUCGCCCUUAGAGUUUGAUCCUGGCUCAGGACGAACGCUGGCGGCGCGCCUAACACAUGCAAGUCGAACGAGCGAGAGAGAGCUUGCUUUCUCGAGCGAGUGGCGAACGGGUGAGUAACGCGUGAGGAACCUGCCUCAAAGAGGGGGACAACAGUUGGAAACGACUGCUAAUACCGCAUAAGCCCACAGCUCAGCAUCGAGCAGAGGGAAAAGGAGCAAUCCGCUUUGAGAUGGCCUCGCGUCCGAUUAGCUAGUUGGUGAGGUAAUGGCCCACCAAGGCGACGAUCGGUAGCCGGACUGAGAGGUUGAACGGCCACAUUGGGACUGAGACACGGCCCAGACUCCUACGGGAGGCAGCAGUGGGGAAUAUUGCACAAUGGGGGAAACCCUGAUGCAGCGACGCCGCGUGGAGGAAGAAGGUCUUCGGAUUGUAAACUCCUGUUGUUGAGGAAGAUAAUGACGGUACUCAACAAGGAAGUGACGGCUAACUACGUGCCAGCAGCCGCGGUAAAACGUAGGUCACAAGCGUUGUCCGGAAUUACUGGGUGUAAAGGGAGCGCAGGCGGGAAGACAAGUUGGAAGUGAAAUCCAUGGGCUCAACCCAUGAACUGCUUUCAAAACUGUUUUUCUUGAGUAGUGCAGAGGUAGGCGGAAUUCCCGGUGUAGCGGUGGAAUGCGUAGAUAUCGGGAGGAACACCAGUGGCGAAGGCGGCCUACUGGGCACCAACUGACGCUGAGGCUCGAAAGUGGGGGUAGCAAACAGGAUUAGAUACCCUGGUAGUCCACACUGUAAACGAUGAUUACUAGGUGUUGGAGGAUUGACCCCUUCAGUGCCGCAGUUAACACAAUAAGUAAUCCACCUGGGGAGUACGACCGCAAGGUUGAAACUCAAAGGAAUUGACGGGGGCCCGCACAAGCAGUGGAGUAUGUGGUUUAAUUCGACGCAACGCGAAGAACCUUACCAAGUCUUGACAUCCUGCGACGCACAUAGAAAUAUGUGUUUCCUUCGGGACGCAGAGACAGGUGGUGCAUGGUUGUCGUCAGCUCGUGUCGUGAGAUGUUGGGUUAAGUCCCGCAACGAGCGCAACCCUUAUGGUCAGUUACUACGCAAGAGGACUCUGGCCAGACUGCCGUUGACAAAACGGAGGAAGGUGGGGAUGACGUCAAAUCAUCAUGCCCUUUAUGACUUGGGCUACACACGUACUACAAUGGCGUUAAACAAAGAGAAGCAAGACCGCGAGGUGGAGCAAAACUCAGAAACAACGUCCCAGUUCGGACUGCAGGCUGCAACUCGCCUGCACGAAGUCGGAAUUGCUAGUAAUCGUGGAUCAGCAUGCCACGGUGAAUACGUUCCCGGGCCUUGCACACACCGCCCGUCA
rnacentral:rRNA from 1 species